rnacentral:rRNA from 1 species
AGUCUGCAACUCGACUCCAUGAAGCUGGAUUCGCUAGUAAUCGCGCAUCAGCCACGGCGCGGUGAAUACGUUCCCGGGCCUUGUACACACCGCCCGUCAAGCCAUGGAAGCCGGGAGUGCCUGAAGUGCGUGAGCGCAAGCAGCGCCCUAAGGUAAAACCGGUGACUGGGGCUAAGUCGUAACAAGGUAUC